UACGGGGGGGGCAAGCGUUGUUCGGAAUUACUGGGCGUAAAGGGCUCGUAGGCGGCCAACUAAGUCAGACGUGAAAUCCCUCGGCUUAACCGGGGAACUGCAUCUGAUACUGGAUGGCUUGAGUUCGGGAGAGGGAUGCGGAAUUCCAGGUGUAGCGGUGAAAUGCGUAGAGAUGUGGAGGAACACCGAUGGCGAAGGCAGCCCCCUGGGCCAACACUGACGCUCAGGCACGAAAGCGUGGGGAGCAAACAGG
rnacentral:rRNA from 1 species